AGGAGCCGUGUGAGAUGAAAGUCUCAUGCACGAUUUUAAAUGAGAAAGAAGUGAGGAAUCCUCUUUUUGACUCUGAC
rnacentral:ncRNA from 1 species